UGUACAAACCAAAUUUUGUCAGCCCUAGUCUGCAGCAUUCUGAAGCUCUGUGUGUUUGUGUGUCCACAGGGUUGUGUGACUCAGACGGGCAGUCGCUCGGGCACCCUCACCUCGUCCAUGUCCAUGGGUCUUGGUCUGGGCCUCGGCGCUCCAGCAAUGAUCAGCAGCGGUACAGCCACAAUCUCCUCUGCUACUGCCGCCAAGAUGAACCGACUGCCGGCUAAUCUGCUGGACCAGCUGGAGCGCCACCUACCGCUGCAGCGCGACGGCUUCAGCACGCUACAGUUCCACCGGCGCAGCCGCGGCUCCAAACCACGCAGCGAGAGCCCCAGCCGCAUCCGAAACCUGGUGCAGUCUGUGCAGAAGCUCUUCGCAAAGUCACAAUCCCUAGAGGUGUCCGCAAUUAAAGCCGGCAGCAUAACAAGCGGAGAUAAAACCGGCAGACGAAGCAAAAGCAAAGAUCGUGCAAAAACCGAAGGCACCAAACGUCGCCCGAGACCCAAUCUCUCCGGUUUCUGGAGCUCAGAUGAUGGUUUAGAGGAUGAUCCGCCAGCUCAACCCACCGCUGGGCCGCUAGCGGUGGCAUAUCGUAACCCGCUUAGCAUGAUGACACUAGGCAGAGCUGUAUCUGACAGCCAGGCGGCGCUCAAACCGCAUCCGCAGGGCUACAACACCAUCGCCGCGCUCAAAUCCUCCAAGAGCAGCGGAGAGCUGAAAGCACAGGCCAGUCUGCCACCAGCUGGAGCCCAGCACGCAGAGCUGGUGAAGAGAGGCUCCUGGUCCACGCUGACCCUCAGUCAGGCCAGACAGGUGCUGCAGAAGAGCUCCGCCACCGUCAACCGCACGCUGCUCAAGUCCAAGUCCUGCCACGGACAGGAGAUGACCUGCAACUUCCUACAGGUGCCCACAGGAGAGUGGAGCGGGACUCUAGGUAAAGCAGGCGCCGCGGGUGAGAUCCCCUGCAGACGGAUGCGCAGCGGCAGCUACGUCAAAGCCAUGGGUGACACUGAGGACAGCGAGGACUCUGACGGGCCUCCUUCACCCAAACCCUCGCCCAAAAGCGCAGCCAGACGCCAGAGUUACCUAAAGGCCACGCAGCACUCGCUCAGCGAACAACAGCCGCCGCUUCCGCCACGCAACUGUAUGCCGUCUCUGUGCGAGGUGCCAACCAACCGCAGCCUGGACAACCUGGACUGUCUAAUGGGCCCCGGGGAUGCAGCUCUGCAGCACUGGGAUGUUGAUGGGGGAUUCAGUCAGCGCUGCGCCACACUGGGAAGAGGAUCUAUCAUGAGCCAGGUCACAAACAUUCACUCAUUUACUGCAGAUUAUUAAAGCAUCACUGUUUUUGUUAAACAUGUUUUCAAUAUUUGGUUUAAUACAAU
rnacentral:lncRNA from 1 species